rnacentral:rRNA from 1 species
GACGAACGCUGGCGGCGUGCCUAAUACAUGCAAGUAGAACGCUGAAGGAGGAGCUUGCUUCUCUGGAUGAGUUGCGAACGGGUGAGUAACGCGUAGGUAACCUGCCUGGUAGCGGGGGAUAACUAUUGGAAACGAUAGCUAAUACCGCAUAACAGUAGAUAUCGCAUGAUAUCUACUUGAAAGGUGCAAUUGCAUCACUACCAGAUGGACCUGCGUUGUAUUAGCUAGUUGGUGAGGUAACGGCUCACCAAGGCGACGAUACAUAGCCGACCUGAGAGGGUGAUCGGCCACACUGGGAGUGGGACACGGCCCAGACUCCUACGGGAGGGAGCAGUAGGGAAUCUUCGGCAAUGGACGGAAGUCUGACCGAGCAACGCCGCGGGAGUGAAGAAGGUUGUCGGAUCGUAAAGCUCGGUUGUAAGAGAAGAACGAGUGUGAGAGUGGAAAGUUCACACUGUGACGGUAUCUUACCAGAAAGGGACGGCUAACUACGUG